rnacentral:rRNA from 1 species
AUGGCCGAUACUCCAACUUCCCGGAUGAUCCACCCCUUCAGCAACAUGCAGGGGCAGAACCCGAAACAGUUCCAGUUCCAGUACUCCGACAACCCACAGCAUCCCUGCCGCCCUUACCAGCCAUCUCCAGACACCCAUGUUGUGCCACAGCAUCACUACAGCCUCAAGUCCCACUCAUCAGAUGCUAGCUAUGAGAACCAGGUUGCUCAGAUGAAGCACACUUUGGACUCCUCGGCGGCAGACGGCUACAUGAGGCAUGACUCGCCCUCCAGCCAUAGCUUCACUCCUCCGUCCAUCAGGAGCGGCAGUGGCAGCCCUUCGUCUCACGACGACAGCCACUCCGACUCCACCAACGGAUCUCCUGUGAGUGCUUCGUGCGUCACUGUGACUGAGGAUCCUAACGAUCUGAAGCAAAAGCUCAAGGACCUUGAGGCUGAAAUGCUUGGGCCAGACGCUGAGAUAGUUAACAGCCUGGAGAGCUCCGUGGCAAAGCAGCUAUCGCUGGAGCCGGAGAAGUGGGCGCAGAUGAUGGACUUUCCCAGGGGCAACCUGAAGGAGCUGCUGCUUGCUUGUGCCAGAGCUGUGGAAGAGAAGAACAUGUACGCGGUCGAUGUGAUGGUGCCGGAGCUGAGGAAGAUGGUUUCGGUCUCCGGCACGCCGCUUGAGAGGCUGGGAGCCUACAUGGUGGAAGGGCUCGUGGCCAGGCUCGCCUCCUCCGGCCACUCCAUCUACAAAGCCUUGAGGUGCAAGGAGCCGAAGAGCUCUGACCUGCUGUCCUACAUGCAUUUCCUGUAUGAGGCCUGCCCCUACUUCAAGUUCGGCUACAUGUCGGCCAACGGCGCCAUUGCGGAGGCUGUGAAGGGAGAGGACAGGAUCCACAUAAUCGACUUCCAUAUCGCUCAAGGAGCUCAGUGGAUCUCCCUCCUCCAGGCCCUUGCAGCCAGGCCCGGUGGGCCGCCGACCGUGAGGAUCACAGGGCUUGAUGAUUCGGUGUCGGCCUACGCGCGAGGCGGUGGGCUGGACCUUGUUGGGAGGAGGCUGUCGCACAUUGCUGGGCUCUGCAAAGUUCCCUUUGAGUUCCACUCGGUCGCCAUGGCCGGCGAAGAGGUGGAAGAGGGGCACCUCGGGGUCAUCCCCGGGGAGGCUCUGGCGGUGAACUUCACCCUGGAGCUGCACCACAUCCCGGACGAGACGGUGAGCACAGCGAACCACCGGGACCGGAUCCUGCGGCUGGUGAAGAGCCUGAGGCCCAAGGUGCUGACCCUGGUGGAGCAGGAGUCCAACACCAACACGGCCCCGUUCCCGCAGAGGUUCGCGGAGACGCUGGAGUACUACACGGCCAUCUUCGAGUCCAUCGACCUGACGCUGCCGAGGGACGACAAGGAGCGGGUGAACAUGGAGCAGCACUGCCUGGCGAGGGAGGUGGUGAACCUGAUCGCGUGCGAGGGCGCGGAGCGGGUGGAGCGGCACGAGGUGUUCGGCAAGUGGAAGGCGCGCCUCACCAUGGCCGGCUUCAGGCCGUCGCCGCUCAGCUCGCUGGUGAACGCCACCAUCAGCACGCUGCUGCAGAGCUACUCGGAGAACUACAAGCUCGCCGAGAGGGACGGGGCGCUCUACCUCGGCUGGAAGAACAAGCCCCUCGUCGUCUCCUCCGCAUGGCACUAG